UCGUACAAGGUUUCCGUAGGUGAACCUGCGGAAGGAUCAUUACCGAGUUUUCGAGCUCCGGCUCGACUCUCCCACCCUUUGUGAACGUACCUCUGUUGCUUUGGCGGCUCCGGCCGCCAAAGGACCUUCAAACUCCAGUCAGUAAACGCAGACGUCUGAUAAACAAGUUAAUAAACUAAAACUUUCAACAACGGAUCUCUUGGUUCUGGCAUCGAUGAAGAACGCAGCGAAAUGCGAUAAGUAAUGUGAAUUGCAGAAUUCAGUGAAUCAUCGAAUCUUUGAACGCACAUUGCGCCCCUUGGUAUUCCGGGGGGCAUGCCUGUUCGAGCGUCAUUACAACCCUCAAGCUCUGCUUGGAAUUGGGCACCGUCCUCACUGCGGACGCGCCUCAAAGACCUCGGCGGUGGCUGUUCAGCCCUCAAGCGUAGUAGAAUACACCUCGCUUUGGAGCGGUUGGCGUCGCCCGCCGGACGAACCUUCUGAACUUUUCUCAAGGUUGACCUCGGAUCAGGUAGGGAUACCCGCUGAACUUAAGCAUAUCAAUAAGCGGAGGA
rnacentral:rRNA from 1 species